UCUCCGUUGGUGAACCAGCGGAAGGAUCAUUACCAAAUCCAUGUUGUUGUUGUUUUGGUUGCAUCUGUUGAUGUGCAUGUCAUGUUUGCUCCCUUUCUGUGCAAAUAUGCGUGUACAUUGAUGAUGCAUUCAUUACAAACAAACAAAUUAGUUCCAUAUGUGUGUAAUACAUAGUCUUUCAUUCGUUUUAUGUGGACAUAUUAUGAUACAUUUCUACGAAACGUCUGUUUUACUCAUUUCUAAUCAUAUUAAACAAUAACUUUUAACAAUGGAUCUCUAGGCUCUU
rnacentral:misc_RNA from 1 species